GAAUAUUCUAGUUAAUGGACCCGAAGAUUACGCACCUGAUUGGCCACUACCUCUAUUUUCGGAAAAGAUAAGGUUACUGUUUAGAGAUGGUCGUGUUGACCAAAGGUUGACCCUUAUACCCACAAAACUAGUCGGUAAAAGGCUCGAGGGCUGCGUGCCACGUGCCAUCGGAAAAAGUUUUUUCUCUUAAUUUUAAAGGGAAAAUGAUGCAAAUUACAGAUUGACCCUCAGCCUGAUUGUUCGAUUCAACCUAAGGCUCAGGGCUACUCCAUAUG
rnacentral:lncRNA from 1 species